UACGUAGGGCGCAAGCGUUAUCCGGAAUUAUUGGGCGUAAAGAGCUCGUAGGCGGUUUGUCGCGUCUGCCGUGAAAGUCCGGGGCUCAACUCCGGAUCUGCGGCGGGUACGGGCAGACUAGAGUGAUGUAGGGGAGACUGGAAUUCCUGGUGUAGCGGUGAAAUGCGCAGAUAUCAGGAGGAACACCGAUGGCGAAGGCAGGUCUCUGGGCAUUAACUGACGCUGAGGAGCGAAAGCUAGGGGAGCAAACGGG
rnacentral:rRNA from 1 species